rnacentral:rRNA from 1 species
GAUGAACGCUGGCGGCGUGCCUAAUACAUGCAAGUCGAGCGAACAGACGAGGAGCUUGCUCCUCUGACGUUAGCGGCGGACGGGUGAGUAACACGUGGAUAACCUACCUAUAAGACUGGGAUAACUUCGGGAAACCGGAGCUAAUCCCGGAUAAUAUAUUGAACCGCAUGGUUCAAUAGUGAAAGACGGUUUUGCUGUCACUUAUAGAUGGAUCCGCGCCGCAUUAGCUAGUUGGUAAGGUAGCGGCAUACCAGGGCAACAAUGCGUAGCCGACCUGAGAGGGUGAUCGGCCACACUGGAACUGAGACACGGUCCAG